rnacentral:rRNA from 1 species
GUAGGGCGCAAGCGUUGUCCGGAUUUAUUGGGCGUAAAGAGCUCGUAGGCGGUCUGUCGCGUCUGCUGUGAAAACCCGAGGCUCAACCUCGGGCCUGCAGUGGGUACGGGCAGACUAGAGUGCGGUAGGGGAGACUGGAAUUCCUGGUGUAGCGGUGGAAUGCGCAGAUAUCAGGAGGAACACCGAUGGCGAAGGCAGGUCUCUGGGCCGCAACUGACGCUGAGGAGCGAAAGCAUGGGGAGCGAACAGGAUUAGAUACCCUGGUAGUCCAUGCCCGUAAACGUUGGGCACUAGGUGUGGGGCUCAUUCCACGAGUUCCGUGCCGCAGCAAACGCAUUAAGUGCCCCGCCUGGGGAGUACGGCCGCAAGGCUA